AAAAAAGAAGAACCGGGAGAGAGGGAAAAAAAGUCACACGCAGUGCGUGAGUGAUCGGGAAGUUUGUAGAUUUUAGACCAUAAAGUCUGUGAUAUUCCUUUUAAGUUCAUAUUUAAAGUGUUUAGCAGCACACACACGUUGCUAUAAAGAAACUGAAAGAAGAUCUGACUUGUGGAGUGAGUGAGAAACAGUUUGAGUUGUCUUUUUGCAUAAGGAAAGUUCUUCACAGGACUUUACUCACUAAAAUUGGUUCGAAACCCUUACAAACUGAAAACUGGAUGUGAACUGGAUAACGAACUUGCUGGAAGCAUCACGGGGAGCAGAAGCUCAUCUAACAGCAGUGAGUGUCGUGGGCUCAACCAGUCUGCGAGCAUCGUUGGACAGCGAGUUUGGCGUUGGAUGGUUUCAGGUUACACCUGCGUGAGCCUCGUUUUCUCAUCUGAUAAUUAAGGUACCUUUAUUUUGUUUGCUCGGUUGAGCGAAGGGGCCAUUUGUUUGUUUCUGGGCCACAACGAACUCAAGCUGCACGUCAGGCCUGCAACGGGGUUUAGGUUUUUGUGUUUGUGUGUGUGUAUGAGAGUGUGAGUGUGGAUCCACAUAGCCCUAAAGUGACUGGUCAAAAGGUUUUUCUUUCAAAUUCUGUUAUAACAGUAACGUUAUUUCAUUUGUAUUGUUAAAGUCAAGUUUACGGGAGGGUUAAACUAUUGUUUAUUUCGUGUGUUUGGUUUAUAGCAGCGAAUUUACUAUUUAAUACAUAGAGAGAUAGCUUUAGGAAGAGAUUUUAAUUUAUAAAAACACAAGGGAACAAGCAUAUACAAAUUACUGUGUUUAGUUUAAUAAUAAGAAAAACGCAUUGGUUUAUUGUCAUAUUUUCAGUAUUUUGGUAUUCCUUAAGUGAUUUUUGUCUUUCUGUGCUGCAUCUGAGCAUAGAAUAUAAACCUAUUAGAUGUGAAUAAUACACUUUUAUUUUAUUUUUUUACAUUAUUGAUUGAUAUUGUUUUUUAUUUAUGUGAAAUACCUUGAAUACAUUUUUAUAGUUAAUCAUUGUGUUUAUGGGUCCUUAUUUUGUCUCUUGUUGGUAUUUGAGUGAUUAGUGAGUGCAGUACAUAACUAAUAAUAGUCUAUGUUAAACGUGUUCAGGUUAGUCUGACAAUCAGUGGAUAUAUUAAAAGUAAUCUUGUGAACUCAGGCUCUUUUAUCAGGUUCUUUUUAUCUGGAGUCCAGGGGUAAAAGGAAAAAGGGUUACAUUUAUAUACUUCUAAUACAUUUUGAUGGACGAUGUCAUUGCUUGUUUUUUUGUUUUUUCAAAAAACGUAUUUAUUUUAAUUACAGUCAUCCUCACCCAUGAAGCUCCAGUCAGCAUUGUGUCUGACUGCAUUAGUGAUGCUCCUGAAGCUGCUGGUGAUGCAGUCAGCAUCAGUGAUGUUGCAAUCAGCAUUGUGUCUGAUGGAAUCGCUGAUGGCAACUAAGCUCCAGUUCACUUACACUCUGACUGGAGCGCUGAUGCCGUUGAAGCUCCAGUUCGCUUCCAGUCUGAAAGGAGUGCUGAUGCUGUUGAAGCUCCAGUUUGUUUCCAGUCUGACUGGAGCGCUGAUGCUGUUGAAGUUCCAGUUCAUUUCCAGUCUGAAUGAAGCGCUGAUGCUGUUGAAGCUCCAGUUCGUUUCCAGUCUGGCUGGAGUGCUGAUGCUGUUGAAGCUCCAGUUCGUUUCCAGUCUGAAUGAAGCGCUGAUGCUGUUGAAGCUCCAGUUCGUUUCCAGUCUGACUGGAGCACUGAUGCCGCCAAAGCUCCAGUUGGUUUCCAGCCUGACAUGAACAUCUUUGACCACUAUGAAGUUGGCAAUCUGCUGGGUCAAGGAGGUUUUGGAGCUGUUUACGAAGGCCGGCGUGUGAAAGAUCAAUAUAAGCCAUGGUCUGAUGGUUGUCUCCCGAUGGAGGUCGCCCUUUUAAUUCUAGCAAAUGAAGGCACAAGAAUCCUCCAAAUUAUACAGCUGCUGGACUGGAAUGAUAAGGGGGACUAUUAUAUCAUGGUUCUGGAGCGGCCUGAUCCCUGCAAGGACCUCUUCAAUUUUUUCCAGACCCACGGAGGCAGACUCGAUGAAGAACUGGCACAGCUUGUCAUGUGGCAGGCAAUAACAGCCACAUACGUGAGUUGCCAGCGUGGUGUAUUCCACAGGGACAUUAAACAGGAGAACCUCCUAUAAACAGGGACACACUAGAGGUCAAACUCAUUGACUUCGGCUGUGGCGAUCUUCUUCAAAGUGCAGAAUAUACAACUUUUAUGGGAACACAAAUGUACUGUCCACCUGAAUUUAAAACAACAGGAAAAUACCACGGGGAGCCGGCCACAGUAUAUUCAUUAGGGGUGCUUCUGUUUUCCCUUGUGUGUGGGAGAUUCCCUGACACCCAUGACCAUAACCUCAUCAACCUUAACAUUUGGUCCAAGUCUGGCUUGUCUGAAGAGUGCUGCAGCCUGAUGUGCUCCUGCCUGCAGAGAGACCCAGCAGAAAGAAUAGAUCUGGUUGAGAUUCUGGAUCAUAACUGGUUUUAGGCCACGCUCUGUCACUGACCCAGUCUAGCAAUCUUUGUUCCAUCUACAUCUACAAAUCAGUGCACAUGAAAAAAGAAUAAAAAAUAUAUUAUAAAAUU